ACGGAGCGGCGUGGCACGUCAGCGGGCGCUGUAAGCAGAGCGCCAUGUUUGCGUCGACGCACCUUCCUGCUGUCUGUCUUCUGACUCGGCAGCAGAAGGGCUGAAAAAAGGAAGAUCUUGUGAUGGGUGCGCGAAGAGCGCAACGUUUGGCCUUCAUUCACGACUCCUGACCGUGACUUCACCCCCUUACCACCUUCAGGGCCAGGAUGAGGAAAGAGUGAAAGGAGAAAAAAUGACUGACUGCCAGCUGAACAAAAGCACAGAGCUCCAGGGUGAAUCCGUCUGAGAGACGAGAGUGCUUCAUGCGGCCGGAGUCGGGAGAUCAAUAUUUACAGACACUCCUCUUCUUUAGACAGCAUUCAUGUCACAACGAACAAACAGGCCCUCCCUGCAAAGUGCAAAAGGCUGUAUAAAAAUGACCAUUCAAGGAUGGCACAAAACCGAUGAACAAGACACCAACAAAAAUGAUGUGGCGGUGUGACGUUACGGCCUCCAGCUGCCUCCACUUCACAGGAAGAGUCGGGGUCAUCCGGAGUGACGGCCCUGGGUCUCUGAGAUGGACGGACGGACGGGUGGGUUGAGUGGGCCGAGGAGGCAGGAGCACACGGCUAUAGCAUGUUGAGGAUGGCGUUGUACAUCUGGACCAGCACGGCCAAGUGGACGGGGAGGCAAGACUGCCGGUCCUGGGUGGCAGGCGUGCAGCUCAUCGGACUGGACCAUGGAGAUGUGGUGGUGGAGCGAUGCCUGCGCACAAGCAAAGAGCGGGAACUCAGCCGUCUUGACUACACGGAGUCGUUAUCUCUUCUCAGUGUUGUCUCAAAAUCAGAACUUGUAAUUUUACAUAUAUUUUACUUUGAA